AUGUUCCCUGCAGCUUUAAUUUGGCUUUUUUCAGUGAUGGCCUGUAUGGAAUGUAAUAUCAUCCUCACUCAGCCAAACUCUAUAAUUCUGCAGCCGGGUAACUCACUUACUCUCACAUGUGAGGUGUCUGGAUAUUCUGUAACAGAUGACAAUUACGCAACAGCCUGGAUACGACAACCUGCAGGAAAAGCUCUGGAGUGGAUUGUGCACAUAUGGGGAGGUGGAGGCAUAACUAAGAAAGACUUACUGGCAAACAAGUUCAGCAUCUGCAAAAGUGACUCCAGCAACAGAGUGACUCUUCAAGGACAGAGUUAAAAGACUGAAGACACAGCUGCGUAUUACUGUGCAAGACUACCACAGAUUCUGAAAACAGCACAAGCACUUUACAAGA